rnacentral:rRNA from 1 species
UAGGGAAUCUUCGGCAAUGGACGAAAGUCUGACCGAGCAACGCCGCGUGAGUGAAGAAGGUUUUCGGAUCGUAAAACUCUGUUGUUAGAGAAGAACAAGGACGUUAGUAACUGAACGUCCCCUGACGGUAUCUAACCAGAAAGCCACGGCUAACUACGUGCCAGCAGCCGCGGUAAUACGUAGGUGGCAAGCGUUGUCCGGAUUUAUUGGGCGUAAAGCGAGCGCAGGCGGUUUCUUAAGUCUGAUGUGAAAGCCCCCGGCUCAACCGGGGAGGGUCAUUGGAAACUGGGAGACUUGAGUGCAGAAGAGGGGAGUGGAAUUCCAUGUGUAGCGGUGAAAUGCGUAGCUAUAUGGAGGAACACCAGUGGCGAAGGCGGCUCUCUGGUCUGUAACUGACGAUGAGGCUCGAAAGCGUGGGGAGCAAACAGG